rnacentral:tRNA from 1 species
GGAAGUAUGGUCAAAUGGUACAUUGUGUGUUUAGCAAAUACAAAGCCCUGGGUUCAAGCCCAAGUGCUACCA